rnacentral:rRNA from 1 species
AACGUAGGACGCAAGCGUUAUCCGGAGUUACUGGGCGUAAAGCGCGGGCAGGCGGCUCUGUAAGUCUGAUGUGAAAGCGCCCGGCUCAACCGGGCGAGGCCAUUGGAAACUACAAAGCUGGAGGGCAGUAGAGGCAGGCGGAAUUCCGGGUGGAGUGGUGAAAUGCGUAGAGAUCCGGAGGAACACCAGAGGCGAAGGCGGCCUGCUGGGCUGCACCUGACGCUGAGCCGCGAAAGCCAGGGGAGCGAACGGG